rnacentral:lncRNA from 1 species
CUUGGGGAUAUUGUGAACUAGUCACUACUUGUUCUAAGGACAGUGAAAUUGCAUGAAUUAAGGCAGGGAAAAAAAUGGAGCUAGUAAACUAGUACUAGUACAAAAUAUGAGUCCAUAUUUGUGGCUCACAUCUUUUACUAGUUCCAUUUUUUUGAGUUGUUCUUAUUACUGCCAUUCCUUUCCCUACCCCCAAAUUUCAAAUAUGAACUUUGGAGUAGCAUUAUGUACUUUCAGAUAUUUAAAUGUUUGUCAUUUAUAUUCUAAGUUUUAUUCAUAUCCAAAAGGGACUCUUUUUGUAGUCUGCUUGAAUAUCCUGAAGGUUUCACUGUGGAUUUCUUGCUACUGAAGAACUUCUUAGAAAAGGGGAAUAAUUAUAUUCUUUUAGUGCUUCAAGGGGAAGGGGAAAGAUGAUGAACUUUAGUGCAUUGGUAAUGGAGGUUACACAAAAGGCACAAUUAUUAAAUUUUAUCAUUACACAGUAGACUUGAGGUUGACAGUCAAGUGACAAUUUUAAAAAAAUAGAAAUAGAAGCAUAUGCUUUCUUGAACUGAAGAGUAAUAUUUUUUAAGGCUAAAUUUGCCAUACAGCAACAAAACACUAAAAAAACACUAGUCAUAUAGUGACAAUAUAGAGACAUAUAAUUGCUGAUAUUAGGAAAUAUACUACAGUGUUAAGAAUUAUAGUUUCUCAUUCUUUAAAACUCAGGAAAUAUAAAAUGCACUUAAAACUAUCAUUUGUACACCAAAAUGUGUUUUUUUAUAUGUUAUAAGAAUUUAGAAUAGAAAUGUUUAACUUGAAGAGAUGAAGCCUUGACAUGCUUACAAAUAAGAAAAGAUAGUUUUUGAAUACAGAAUAAUAACAGCUGAAAUAGGACAUCAGUGAAGCAGUACAUAAAUCUGACAUGAUAUUGGCCAGGCAUCAAGAAAUUCAGCCAAAAGUUUUUAGGAUGACGGGAAUGAGAACACUCAAGUUAUGACUUAUUUGGGUUAAGAACAGGAGAUCCAAGAUGCUGUUGACAUGCUCCAUUGAAGAAAAGUCCAUAAUUAUAACAACAAUUUGACAACCAUGAUGUAGCAUUAUUCAUAUGAAAGCAAUGGAAAUAACAGUGGCCAUCAAAUAGAAUGAUUAAAGAAGCAAAAUGUCUAAGGCUAAAUAAAAUAAAGUAAGAAAAGAAAAUUCUAUACAUUUUACUAUAUAGUAUUAAUUUCAAUAUAUGCCAUUUUAAAAAAUAUUAAGAGUUUAUCUUUGUUUUUCUUAAUUAUUGGGUAAGGAAACAGUAAUAUGAUCACUAUAAAAUUUAGUAGAGCUUCCAGUCAAAAGAGUUCAUACUGUUACCUUUGUUCUUCACGUUGAGUAUCCAAUGGAUGUAAGCAUGCCUCCUGGGAACAUCAGCAUGUAACUGUUGACCAAAUUGCUGGAACUCCUUGGCGACCUUAAUAGAUUAUGUUAGGAGAUUGUAUUUGUAAGGUAUUUAUAGUCAGUAACAAACACUGGAGGUAGUGAUUGGCUUAAAUAUUGACAAUGUUAUUUAAAAAGGAAAAAAAAAAAAAAAAAACACUGAGAUAGAACCAGGCUGGAAUUUAAAGUGAGUUUUCAUUAUUCAACUCAUGUUGAGUUCAUAGUAUUAUGUGGUAAAAUUUGAUUAUUUUUCUUGUCUAUGACCAAUUAGUUUUCUAAUACACAAAUAGAUAUAAAAAUACAUAUGUUACAAUUAUUAGAUUUCAUGAGGUUUGUGUUGUGUUUAAUUUUAGUGAAAAUAAAAUACAUUUUCGUAAGAGGGAAAUUCCUGAGCUAAAUAUAAUUUAACAUAUCUAAAUUUAGAGUAAGAGCUUAGAUGAUUGUUCUAUGUAUCUUUGAGGCACUUAUGAAGUGUUUGUAAUAUUACUGUCAAUACCCAAAGACAAUUUAAUCAUAAUGUAUUCAAAGAAAAUGUUUUUCUAGUUUUGAAAUUCAUGUAAAUAAGAAAUCCUGCAAUGGUCAAUGAGUUUCUACUAGAUGUGCUACUAUUUAAUUUUAUACAGAACUAAAAUCAUAUAUGGGUUAUUUGAUAUAACCUAAAAACUAGUUUCAAGUUUUUAUCUAAUAAAACUGGCACACUAAAAUUAAUUAUUU